rnacentral:rRNA from 1 species
UACGUAGGGGGCGAGCGUUGUCCGGAUUUAUUGGGCGUAAAGAGCGUGUAGGCGGCCAGGUAGGUCUGCUGUGAAAACUCGAGGCUCAACCUCGAGACGUCGGCGGAAACCAUCUGGCUAGAGUCCGGAAGAGGAGAGUGGAAUUCCUGGUGUAGCGGUGAAAUGCGUAGAUAUCUGGAGGAACACCGGUGGCGAAGGCGGCAUCCUGGACCGGCAUUGACGCUGAGGAGCGAAAGCCAGGGGAGCAAACGGG